rnacentral:lncRNA from 1 species
GAAAAACUGUUUUUGUUCCUAGGAACAUCUAAAAACGUAAUAAACGUAUCAUGGAAAUGUACAUUCAUUGUGGGCAAAUACGCAGAUGACCCAUUUUUUUUAUAAAUUGGUUAUAAAAAAGGACCAAACUUAACAAAUUUACAAUAAUAAAAUAUUAAAUAUAGUUUCCUAAAUGUAGUAACACGUGUCCAGUUCAAUACUCGUGUUUUCGUUAACAACAGCCAAUCAUGAGAAUUAAAAGUUUUAUCUUCAAAUGUCUAGUUCCAGUGAUUUAUUAAUUUCGAAUGCAUAUAGAGACAGAUAAAUAUUUACAAAAUCUCUCAGUCAGCAAGCGACAUUGUUUAUCGAGAUAUAGGUGUUCUUAGAGGAAACCAAUCCAGUGACGUUAUUUGAAUAAAUAUCAUCCAAUCAUUGUCUGACUGGAUGCACAUAAUGAGGGGCGCCGUUUUGUUGAAAACAUAGUAGAGAUCCUCGGACAUUUAAGUUAAUUAUUACAGUACACUUUUAUAUUAAAAAAUUGCAUAAAAUUCCAUAUUUAUUAGUUGGGCCGAUCAAUUUGGUACGUGCUGGAGAUUCGAUAUGUUCCAUUACCUCAAACCUUCGGUUAUUUUUGCGUACAACAAUUUUUACUUUAAUUCAGAACUUUAAAGCCGUCUAAUUAUUUCUAUUGGUAAAUAAUAACAAUAUUUAACCUUUCAGUAGAUAUGAUUCUCAAAGUUUGCCCGGCUGAUCAAUAUCGGAAGGAAA